CUUCAGGACAGCUAGAUGUAUAUGUGCAGGUCACAGGGGAUAUGAUGGCUUAGCUUGGGCUCAGAUGCCUGACAUUUUUGUCUUCUUAUAUUAGCUAUACAAGAAGUGUGGCACCAGCAUCUCCUUCUGAGGAACUCAGGAAGCUUCCAAUUAUGGCAGAAGGUGAGGGGAGAGCAUGCACAUCACAUGGUGAGAGAGGAAGAGAGUGACAGAAGGUGGGAAGAUUGUAUUUCCCUUCUCCUUGAGGUUAGACACAGUUACAUGGCUAGUUGAGCCAACAGAAGAGGAGCCGAAGUGAAAUAUGACACUUCCAAGUGAAAGACUAUAACUGCUGAUGCUUUUCUCUCAUCCCUGCCAAGAGCACAAUCACAGAGGUUCAUAUCCAUAUGAAGGCAGUAUCAGAGUGGAGGAGCUUGGAAUGCUGAGCAAACACACGGAGGAACGCUGCUGUGGUGCAUUACAUGGACUCCAGCAGGCUUCGCAUGAGUGACAAAUACACUUGUCAAGCCACUGAGAUUAGGCAGUUUGUCCUGCAGCACAAUCUAGCCUAUUUGGAUGUAUCUGAGUUUAGUCAUGGUAGCAUUAUGCAUCCUUGUAGCUGGGAGGGUCAAGUAACAGUUCUAGCAAACAAAAUAUAAAUUGAGGUGACUGGGCAAGUUAGCCUUCUAGGAAAAGCCUUUUAAAGAAAUAAAUUCAGCUGGCAUGAGCA